AACGAACGCUGGCGGCGUGCCUAACACAUGCAAGUCGUGCGAGAAAGUUCCUUCGGGAGCGAGUAAAGCGGCGCACGGGUGAGUAACACGUAGGUAACCUGCCCCCCAGUCUGGAACAACUAGAGGAAACUCUAGCUAAUGCCGGAUGAGACCACGAUCCCUUCGGGGGUUGCGGCCAAAGAUGGCCUCUACUUGUAAGCUAUCGCUGAGGGAUGGGCCUGCGGGCCAUUAGCUUGUUGGUGAGGUAACGGCUCACCAAGGCUGUGAUGGCUAGCUGGUCUGAGAGGAUGACCAGCCACACUGGGACUGAGACACGGCCCAGACUCCUACGGGAGGCAGCAGUGGGGAAUAUUGCGCAAUGGGCGAAAGCCUGACGCAGCGACGCCGCGUGGGUGAUGAAGGCCUUCGGGUCGUAAGCCCUGUCGCAGGGGAAGAAUAAGCAUCGGGUAUAAUACGACCGGUGCCCUGACGGUACCCU
rnacentral:rRNA from 1 species